rnacentral:lncRNA from 10 species
GAGACCACAUGGCGCACGGGGCUCCGGAGGAAUUUCUACGGCAACUGCUUCGUCAUCUGUGGGGUGCUGUAUGCCGUGGAUAGCUACAACCAGCGGAAUGCCAACAUCUCCUACGCUUUCGACACCCACACCAACACACAGAUCGUCCCCAGGCUGCUGUUCGAGAAUGAGUAUUCCUAUACGACCCAGAUAGACUACAACCCCAAGGACCGCCUGCUCUAUGCCUGGGACAAUGGCCACCAGGUCACUUACCAUGUCAUCUUUGCCUACUGACACCCUUGUCCCCACAAGCAGAAGCACAGAGGGGUCACUAGCACCUUGUGUGUAUGUGUGUGCGCGCACGUGUGUGUAGGAGGCAGGCAACACCAGGAGCAGAAAUGAAAGAGGCAAGAAAGAAGUGCUAUGUGGCGAGAAAAAAAGUUUUAAUGUAUUGGAGAAGUUUUAAAAAACCCAGAAAAACGCUUUUUUUUUUUAAUAAAGAAGAAAUUUAAAAUCA